GCCUUGGUAGAUCAAUCGGUAGAUCAUCCAUCCCAAGUAAGGAGUUCUAUGGGAAAACGUCGGUUCAAAUCCUCCCCAAGGCA